rnacentral:rRNA from 1 species
CUACGGGGUGCUGCAGUGGGGGAUAUUGCACAAUGGGCGAAAGCCUGAUGCAGCAACGCCGCGUGAAGGAAGACGGAUUUCGGUCUAUAAACUUCUAUCAGCAGGGAUGAAAAUGACAGUACCUGACUAAGAAGCCCCGGCUAACUACGUGCCAGCAGCCGCGGUAAUACGUAGGGGGCAAGCGUUAUCCGGAAUUACUGGGUGUAAAGGGUACGUAGGCGGCUGAUCAAGUCAGAUGUGAAAGCCCGGAGCUCAACUCCGGGACUGCAUUUGAAACUGGUCGGCUAGAGUGUAGGAGAGGAAAGUGGAAUUCCUAGUGUAGCGGUGAAAUGCGUAGAUAUUAGGAAGAACACCAGUGGCGAAGGCGGCUUUCUGGACUAUAACUGACGCUGAGGUACGAAAGCGUGGGGAGCAAACAGGAUUAGAUACCCUUGUAGUC